rnacentral:tRNA from 1 species
AAAAGAAUGACUUAAAGUUAAAGUAGUAAAUUGUAAAUUUAUUUAUGGAUUUUUAUCCUUCUUUUA